rnacentral:rRNA from 1 species
GAUGAACGCUGGCGGCGUGCCUAAUACAUGCCAGUAGAACGCUGAAGGAAGGAGCUUGCUCUUUCCGGAUGAGUUGCGAACGGGUGAGUAACGCGUAGGUAACCUGCCUGGUAGCGGGGGAUAACUAUUGGAAACGAUAGCUAAUACCGCAUAACAGUAGAUGUUGCAUGAUAUCUACUUAAAAGGUGCAAUUGCACUACUACCAGAUGGACCUGCGUUGUAUUAGCUAGUUGGUGAGGUAACGGCUCACCAAGGCGACGAUACAUAGCCGACCUGAGAGGGUGAUCGGCCACACUGGGACUGAGACACGGCCCAGACUCCUACGGGAGGCAGCAGUAGGGAAUCUUCGGCAAUGGACGGAAGUCUGACCGAGCAACGCCGCGUGAGUGAAGAAGGGUUUCGGAUCGUAAAGCUCUGUUGUAAGAGAAGAACGAGUGUGAGAGUGGAAAGUUCACACUGUGACGGUAUCUUACCAGAAAGGGACGGCUAACUACGUG